GACACGAUGGCAAAGCGAUCUAACGCGUGAGACUUAACCUAUGUGAUCCAUUUACGCUAGGUACACAUCUCAUAUCUUCGGAUGUGCAGGUUCGAAUCCUGCACGUGUCG